rnacentral:rRNA from 1 species
CGCGGUAAUUCCAGCUCCAAUAGCGUAUAUUAAAGUUGUUGCAGUUAAAAAGCUCGUAGUUGGAUGUCUGCUGGAAGCAAUCAGUCCGCCCUAUUUGUAGGGUGUGCACUUGAUGAAUUCUGGCAUCUAUAUCCCAAUAAUAUGAUGGUGUAUACCCUGUGUACACCCAUCUAUAUUGGGAUAAUACCGUUACUUUGAGAAAAUUAGAGUGUUUGAAGCAGGCUAAUUGCCUUGAAUACUGCAGCAUGGAAUAACAAUAUAGGAUUUCGGUUCUAUUUUGUUGGUUUCUAGGACUGAAAUAAUGAUUAAUAGGGACAGUUGGGGGCAUUCGUAUUUAACUGUCAGAGGUGAAAUUCUUAGAUUUGUUAAAGACGAACUACUGCGAAAGCAUUUGCCAAAGAUGUUUUCAUUAAUCAAGAACGAAAGUUAGGGGCUCGAAGACGAUCAGAUACCGUCGUAGUCCUAACCAUAAACUA